rnacentral:rRNA from 1 species
AUGAACGCUGGCGGCGUGCUUAACACAUGCAAGUCGAACGAAACACCUUAUUUGAUUUUCUUCGGAACUGAAGAUUUGGUGAUUGAGUGGCGGACGGGUGAGUAACGCGUGGGUAACCUGCCCUGUACAGGGGGAUAACAGUCAGAAAUGACUGCUAAUACCGCAUAAGACCACAGCACCGCAUGGUGCAGGGGUAAAAACUCCGGUGGUACAGGAUGGACCCGCGUCUGAUUAGCUGGUGGGUGAGGUAACGGCUCACCAAGGCGACGAUCAGUAGCCGGCUUGAGAGAGUGAACGGCCACAUUGGGACUGAGACACGGCCCAAACUCCUACGGGAGGCAGCAGUGGGGAAUAUUGCACAAUGGGGGAAACCCUGAUGCAGCGACGCCGCGUGAGUGAAGAAGUAUUUCGGUAUGUAAAGCUCUAUCAGCAGGGAAGAAAAUGACGGUACCUGACUAAGAAGCCCCGGCUAACUACGUG